ACCCAGCUGACGAGUCCCAAAUAGGACGAAACGCGCGUCCUGGAC
rfam:Schistosoma mansoni strain Puerto Rico chromosome 2, complete genome